rnacentral:rRNA from 1 species
GACGAACGCUGGCGGCGUGCUUAACACAUGCAAGUCGAGCGGUAAGGCCCUUUCGGGGGUACACGAGCGGCGAACGGGUGAGUAACACGUGGGUGACCUGCCCUCAGCUCUGGGAUAAGCCUGGGAAACUGGGUCUAAUACUGGAUAUGACUCCACGGUGCAUGUCGUGGGGUGGAAAGCCUUGUGCGGCUGAGGAUGGGCCCGCGGCCUAUCAGCUUGUUGGUGGGGNGAUGGCCUACCAAGGCGACGACGGGUAGCCGGCCUGAGAGGGCGACCGGCCACACUGGGACUGAGACACGGCCCAGACUCCUACGGGAGGCAGC